ensembl:lncRNA
CUUCAGUUCCCUUUGGGUUCACAAAUAGGCAUGUUUCGCCAGCUGCUCAGGCUAUUUUGGAAGGAAAGUGGAGAUCAAGGAGAGACCACACCAACACAGAAGGAAGGUGACCUCCUGUGUAGUAAAACAGGAAGGAUGAAAUCAUUCUGAGGAAGGCUUGGUGAGUCCUGGGCAGAGUUGGGGAACUUCCUCGAGAUGUGCCUUCUAAGACUAGGCCUUACAAGCAGGAGCCUUGGGAUCAUUAAUUUGAGAGAAAGCCAGAAAUUGCUCCUGUUUCCUGACCUGCUUGAGUUCCGGUCCUGGCUUCCUUUGGUGAUGAACAGCAAUGUGGAAGUGUAAGCUGAAUAAACCCUUUCCUCCCC